UUUUGGACAAUGGGGGCAACCCUGAUCCAGCCAUGCCGCGUGAGUGAAGAAGGCCUUCGGGUUGUAAAGCUCUUUCGGCCGGAACGAAAUGGGCGGGACUAAUACUCCUGUCUGAUGACGGUACCGUAAGAAGAAGCACCGGCUAACUACGUGCCAGCAGCAGCGGUAAUACGUAGGGUGCGAGCGUUAAUCGGAAUUACUGGGCGUAAAGCGUGCGCAGGCGGUUUCGUAAGCUGGAGGUGAAAUCCCCGGGCUUAACCUGGGAAUGGCCUUCAGGACUGCGAGGCUAGAGUGCGGCAGAGGGAGGUGGAAUUCCACGUGUAGCAGCGAAAUGCGUAGAGAUGUGGAGGAACACCGAUGGCGAAGGCAGCCUCCUGGGCCAGCACUGACGCUCAUGCACGAAA
rnacentral:rRNA from 1 species